UGAUCCUCAGAUUUCAGUCUCUAGGAUAAGAGGCACGAGCCACAGGCACUGGCUGUUGCCCAUUUUUGCCUACUCAGUGAUAUAGUUCCUACUUACACUAACUUACCUGUUUCAGAUGUUAGGACAAGGUGAGACCUGCCGUGUAAUCUUGUUCCGGAACAAAGGUUUCUACAGCUCUUUUAGCACUUAUUAAUGAAGUUUCUUUAUGUUUUGGAAAUGGCAAACCUAUAUCUUUAAGCCCUUAAGAAAUGAAGAAUCUACUAUUAGGAGGAAAUGUGUUUAUAUUUGUGUCAUGUAAUUCUCUAACAAUGAUGUUAGAGAUGAUUGACCAUUUCCUCAGUAAAACUGUCAAUAUCUAAUUGAAGGAUUCUGAAGUUUGAGAGUGAUGUUUAAGGGAAUAACUUGUUUUUCUGUACAGUGGUCUUUUGCAUGUGCACCCACUCACUAUUUGUUACAUAAAGAACUAAUUUCUAACUGAAGAGUAUUUAUUGAUAAAUUCAUGUAAAAGCCAUUGUGUGUUUACUGAAGGUGGCAUUUCAAUAAAAUUGUCUUACUUCAGGGAUUUUAUAGUUCCAGAAUGUACACAAUUAGGAAAUUGUUUUGACAUGAACUUGGUAGGGAUACCAACUGCCAUAAAUGAUCAGUAACAGACUGGGCCAAAAAAAACUUGAUCCUCAAGUUUUGUCAGGAAAUAGGUAUCUGAGUCUUCGGUGACAAUGUUAAUCCAAAGAUAGCAGAACUAGAUUCUCAAUAAAUCAUAAAAAAGUUAUAGUACAGUAAUGUUUUAUCUGAUGUCUGUCUUUACUAAGUGGGUUAAUCUGUUAAGAAGUGAAACUGAGUCAAAAGUAAGCCAAGCCUUCCUACAUUAUUGCAAAAGGUAUAAGAAAUAUAAUCAUAAUAAAGGAAUCAAAAGUAUUUUUUGCCAGUAGACUUAUAGGGCUCAGGUAAGUCACUCAAUUCGUCUUAAAGCUAUGAUUUUUCCAACAGAAUCAAUAUUUUGAUCAAGGAAUUUAGUCCCUUUUGAAUGA